AGCGAACGCUGGCGGCAGGCCUAACACAUGCAAGUCGAGCGCCCCGCAAGGGGAGCGGCAGACGGGAGAGUAACACGUGGGAACGUACCCUUCAGUUCGGAACAACCCAGGGAAACUUGGGCUAAUACCGGAUACGCCCGAAAGGGGAAAGAUUCAUCGCUGAAGGAUCGGCCCGCGUCUGAUUAGCUAGUUGGGGGGGUAAUGGCCCACCAAGGCGACGAUCAGUAGCUGGUCUGAGAGGAUGAUCAGCCUCACUGGGACUGAGACACGGCCCAGACUCCUACGGGAGGCAGCAGUGGGGAAUAUUGGACAAUGGGCGCAAGUCUGAUCCAGCCAUGCCGCGUGGAUGAUGAAGGCCCUAGGGUUGUAAAGUCCUUUCGGCGGGGAAGAUAAUGACGGUACCCGCAGAAGAAGCCCCGGCUAACUUCGUGCCAGCCGCCGCCGUAAAAC
rnacentral:rRNA from 1 species